AAAGCUCGUAGUUGAACCUUGGGCCUGGCUGGCCGGUCCGCCUCACCGCGUGCACUGGUUCGGCCGGGCCUUUCCCUCUGGGGAACCUCAUGCCCUUCACUGGGUGUGAUGGGGAACCAGGACUUUUACUGUGAAAAAAUUAGAGUGUUCAAAGCAGGCCUAUGCUCGAAUACAUUAGCAUGGAAUAAUAGAAUAGGACGUGUGGUUCUAUUUUGUUGGUUUCUAGGACCGCCGUAAUGAUUAAUAGGGACAGUCGGGGGCAUUAGUAUUCAAUUGUCAGAGGUGAAAUUCUUGGAUUUAUUGAAGACUAACUACUGCGAAAGCAUUUGCCAAGGAUGUUUUCAUUAAUCAGGAACGAAAGUUAGGGGAUCGAAGACGAUCAGAUACCGUCGUAGUCUUAACCAUAAACUAUGCCGACUAGGGAUCGGACGGUGUUAUUUUUUGACCCGUUCGGCACC
rnacentral:rRNA from 1 species